AUGCAGCACAGCCAGGAGAGCCCCUGGCCCCUGAAUACUACCUUCAGAUGGAGGAGGGAAAAUAACAUCUACAGGCAUGGUAAUGUCUUCACUUUGCUACAAGAUGCAGAUGGAUCACUCUUUGCCAGCUUUCAAGGCAAAUAUUGCUGUAUAGUCCUUGCCCUCAGCAACAUCCUCAGUGUCCUGGUGAUGGGUGCUUUGAAAGGAUCGGGCAGAAGAGACGUCAUGCUGCCUCUGCACAUCAGGCUCUCUGUUCUGGCAGAUUUGGUGUAUCUCCUAUGCAGGCUUGACCAUCCCAAGUCCACUAUACUAGCUGAAAACAGUUUUAGUCAGUGCACUGCAUUUCCAUGCAAUUAUGGUAGUAUGCUUAUUUUCUGUUACCUUUUGAAUGGAUAAUUUAAAAUUGCUCUCUGUAGGGAUGUUCCCUGUGUCUGUCUGCCUAUCAAUCUUUCUAUCUGAAUGCAGAAGUAUUUGAUUAGUGUAUUUAAAGUAAUAAAGAUGUCAACAGUAGUGUCA
rnacentral:lncRNA from 1 species